GAUGAACGCUGGCGGCGUGCCUAAUACAUGCAAGUCGAGCGAAUGGAUUAAGAGCUUGCUCUUAUGAAGUUAGCGGCGGACGGGUGAGUAACACGUGGGUAACCUGCCCAUAAGACUGGGAUAACUCCGGGAAACCGGGGCUAAUACCGGAUAACAUUUUGAACCGCAUGGUUUGAAAUUGAAAGGCGGCUUCGGCUGUCACUUAUGGAUGGACCCGCGUCGCAUUAGCUAGUUGGUGAGGUAACGGCUCACCAAGGCAACGAUGCGUAGCCGACCUGAGGGGGUGAGCGGCCACACUGGGACUGAGACACGGCCCAGACUCCUACGGGAGGCAGCAGUAGGGAAUCUUCCGCAAUGGACGAAAGUCUGACGGAGCAACGCCGCGGGAGUGAUGAAGGCUUUCGGGUCGUAAAACUCUGUUGUUAGGGAAGAACAAGUGCUAGUUGAAUAAGCUGGCACCUUGACGGUACCUAACCAGAAAGCCACGGCUAACUACGUGCCAGCCGCCGCGGUAA
rnacentral:rRNA from 1 species